UACGGGGGGGGCAAGCGUUGUUCGGAAUUACUGGGCGUAAAGGGCUCGUAGGCGGCCAACUAAGUCGGAUGUGAAAUCCCCAGGCUCAACCUGGGAACUGCAUCCGAUACUGGAUGGCUUGAAUUCGGGAGAGGGAUGCAGAAUUCCAGGUGUAGCGGUGAAAUGCGUAGAUAUCUGGAGGAAUACCGGUGGCGAAGGCGGCCCACUGGUCCGGUACUGACGCUGAGGUGCGAAAGCGUGGGGAGCAAACAGG
rnacentral:rRNA from 1 species